UACGUAGGUGACAAGCGUUGUCCGGAUUUACUGGGCGUAAAGAGCGCGCAGGCGGUCGUUCAAGUCGAGUGUGAAAGCCCCCGGCUCAACUGGGGAGGGUCACUCGAUACUGAUCGACUCGAAGGCAGGAGAGGGUAGUGGAAUUCCGAGUGUAGCGGUGAAAUGCGUAGAGACUCGGAAGAACACCAGUGGCGAAGGCGGCUACCUGGUCCAGCACCGACGUUCAGGCACGAAAGCGUGGGGAGCAAACAGG
rnacentral:rRNA from 1 species